GCAAGUCGAACGGAAACGAUGUGAGCUUGCUCCCAGGCGUCGAGUGGCGGACGGGUGAGUAACACAUAGGAAUCUGCCCAGUAGCGGGGGACAACUUGUGGAAACUCAAGCUAAUACCGCAUACGCCCUACGGGGGAAAGCGGGGGACCUUCGGGCCUCGCACGAUUGGAGGAGCCUAUGUCAGAUUAGCUUGUUGGUGGGGUAAUGGCCGACCAAGGCGACGAUCUGUAGCUGGUCUGAGAGGACGAGC
rnacentral:rRNA from 1 species